AAAAGGACCGGCUGUUAAAAGGAGAAAAGGGGGGGAAAAUGAAAGGGGAGGAGACGUGAUGGCAGCAAGGAGAGGAAGGAAAAGGGAGUUGCGAAAGAGAAAAGGGGGGGGGGAAUGUUCUUUCACGUUCUUCCUGGCUUUGCGAGGAAAGAAAAAGAAACGGGGAGGAGGUGGCUCUUCCAUAGUUGUUGGAAGAAAAUCCUUCUUUCUUCAAGCAAAAAAUCAAAGAGAGAGGAGUUGGAGAACAUGAUUGUGAAGGAAGUAUUUAGAGAUUUGAAGGGUAAAUUCCUUGUUACUUCAUUAUCUUGAUUUUCAAAUUUAACUUCCUUAAGUCGAAUUGAAACUGCCAUGAUGUAUUGGAGUUCUUAGUUCUAUUUAGGGUUUCUAUCAUUCAGUGAACUAGUCUAAACAUGAAUUAGAGUUGGGUAAUUUGGAUUGGGUGUGUAGAUCAAAUUUCUUGAUCAAGGGUUUGGUUCAAAAGGUCAAUUUUUUGUUAAUUUUGAGUCAUGUUAGUUUUGGAUGUUGUAUACAUGAUUUAUGGACUACAUGGAAGUAUUUGGGAUUUGUUAUAUGAAUUGGAAGUGUGCUGUUACGUAAGUUGUAGAAAUGAUUUCGUUGCAAAGAAAACUCAAGUUUCGAGUAGCCUUCUUUGGCUCUUAAUUUCUAGGCCUUUAUGUGCUCCUUUGGAGAAAUUUUUUGUGUAUUGAAAGUACAUAUGUUCAUGAUCGUAACCCAAUUGUUUUCACUCCGUUCCGUUGAGUUUUGGUUGAUCAAAACCUUAUUUAAACUUGGGUUCGCGAGCUGCCAAGCAGCAGCAAGAAAACUGGGUUUCCAGUUUCAAGACUCUGUUUUUCUUUUGGUGUAACUUCCAAUUGAGAGCUCCGUUUUCUACAAACUUUGUAUGCUUUUAAAGUACAGAACACAAGCUUCAAAACCCAUAUAAUAUUACAUGAUUUGGUUUAGUUUUGAAUGUUCCAAACGGAGCCUAAACUUGGUCCAAUGGUGCUGUUUUCUGCAGAUUUUGUGGAGAAGCAGAGUACUGUUUUUGCCACACCUAGUUUCUUUCCAGAUUCCUUUCUAAUCUUCCUUACUACUAAUUGAGUGAUGGUAUUAAUGUCAAUUGUGAAUAUGAAUUGGUCUUAUAAAUAGGAUUUCUAUUGAAAUAUGAUAUAUAUAUAUAUAUAUAUAU
rnacentral:lncRNA from 1 species